rnacentral:lncRNA from 1 species
GCCUUCAUCCAUGAAGCAUGUGCUGUUAACGAGUCGAGUUGUGAUUAUUGUGAGCAAGAGGUUCGGAGAUUUCCUGUAACCUUGCGUUAUGCUUAAAGGAUGGAUACACGAGAGAGCAACAAAAAAAGCUACAUGUCAAGGCUGAUCAGGAAAUCAAAAUAGGCAACCUGGAGUUCAACUUUCUGUGUGUGUGAAAUAAAACUUCGUAAACUUAUGUCUUGGGUUAUUGGCAUAUAUAUAUGCCAAAAUUGGGUUAUCGGUACGUGUUGAAAACAUAUUUGAAAUAUCUGGUAUGAUCCUAUAAGAUAAUAUGUUAUUAAUUAUGAAGAAAUAUAUGUGAAAUCAAAAGGUAUUAAGAAAAAAUAUAAAAUUUCUAUCAUUAGUUUAUAUGAAAUGAUAAAAAUGUUGUUUUGCUAAGUAAUGUGAUCUUCAUUUUUAUAAAAUAUUAUAAAACUUAGAGAAUUUUAAGUGUCUGAAUUAAAUGCAAAUAUUUAGAGAAAAUAGAAGAGUUCAUGCAACAUAACUUCUAAUUUAACUUCAUUUUUGUUUCAAAACUUCUUACCUAUACUUCAUCUGCAAAAUUAAUCAUCAUAGAUUCUUUUUUUUAAAAAAAAAUGAAUUUGAAAGGGAGAUAAUCAUCAUAGUUUCAACUACCUGUCUAUAUAUGCCAAAUUACGGGAUUACCAAAUUUAGAGAGAAAAAACCAUAUCUAUGAUUAAAAUCGGGGCAUUUGAACUCUAAUCUUGCAAAUAUGACUUACACUCAAAUAAGAUCUUACUCGGAUGAAAAACUCAUUUAAGUCUGAACCAUCAUUUCUUUUGAAAAUACGCUCAGCAUUCAAUGCGGG